CCUGCUCAUCUGCCGCUCCCUUUGCCGCCGCCUUAGCCCGGGACCCGAACCCAGCCUCUCCCCUACCCGAACACCGGCCCCGGCUCCACCGAGGCCCGGGUCCCCCAGCCCCGUCUCGCCGCCGCCAUGGCGGACCCUAAAUACGCCGACCUUCCCGGCAUUGCCAGGAAUGAGCCAGAUGUUUAUGAAACCAGCGACCUACCUGAGGAUGAUCAAGCGGAGUUCGAUGCGGAGGAGCUGACAAGCACAAGUGUGGAACACAUCAUUGUCAAUCCUAAUGCUGCCUAUGACAAGUUCAAGGACAAGAGAGUGGGGACAAAGGGACUUGAUUUCUCAGAUCGUAUUGGAAAAACCAAGAGGACAGGAUAUGAAUCUGGAGAAUAUGAGAUGCUUGGAGAGGGUCUGGGAGUGAAGGAGACACCCCAGCAAAAGUACCAGCGCCUACUGCAUGAGGUCCAAGAGCUGACAACUGAAGUUGAAAAAAUCAAGGUAACUACAAACUCUCUUCUCCCUUCUCUGCUGUGACUUACACAGUAGAGGAAGACCUCAAGCAAGAAGAGAAAGAUU
rnacentral:sRNA from 1 species